AGGGGAAUUGCUGGGUCAUACAGAAACUCUUUGUUUAACAUAUUGAGGAACUGCCAGGCUGUUUCCAAAGCAGCAGUACCAUUUCC
rnacentral:miRNA from 1 species